UGCACUUAUAUAUAUAUAUAUUUAUGGAUAAGUACAAAAAAUAAAUCCUGUUUUGCAACCCAGAACUCAUUGUUCAGUAUGAGUUUUUUUUUUUUUAAUUGGCUGGGUAUC
rnacentral:snoRNA from 1 species